rnacentral:lncRNA from 1 species
AGAGAAAUGAUCCACAAUAGUAAGAAAGUACUUGGAUCCAUCAUGUGCAGGAACAGAACAAGGCCCCCAUAUAUCACAAGAAAUAAGUUGAAAAAUUCUGGUGCUCAUAUGUGUGCUGGUAGGAAAAGGAAGGCGAUGUUGUUUAGCCAUGGGACAAAUGCAGCAAGGAUUUUCAUUAAUGUCAGUACUUACAACAGGAUCAUCGAUCAAAGAUAUCCUAGACAAAGGUGUAUGGCCAAGUCUAUAAUGCCAAAGAUCUAUGGAAGAACUAUUGUCAAGUACAGAAGUGGAAACAAAGAUAUUUUUAUUUAAAUACUUAGAAAAGUUGUCAACAAGAGCUUCAGGAGACACUUUAGCAUGCUGCAAUUGAUAGAGUCCAUUCUUCAAUUUACCCUUCCCAAUCGUUGUCCAAGACAAAAGGUCCUGGAGGAAACAGCAAUCAGAAAAAAAAAUAAGGCAGCAAGUAAGUGAGUGGGCAAGUCUUUUAGCAGAAAUCAAGUUAAAUGUAAAAGACGGGACACAUAAAACAUUUUCUAGGACGAGUUUUCCAGUGAUAUGAACUGUUCCUACGUGUGUGACAAGUGCUUCAUCACCAUUUGGCAUCUUGACAGAAUAAGAUACUUCUGAAUUGAUGGUAGUAAACAGGGAGAUGCUGCAGACCAUGUGGUCUGUAGCACCUGUGUCGAUAAUCCAAGGUGUUUCGGAAGAGAAUAAAAGUCUUUGAGAAGAAGUGGAACAAGAGAUAGAUAUACCAGACAUGGUAGGGGCCUUUGCUGCAUUAGCUACAGGAUGAGAAGCUGUCUUGGAUGGAUUGGUGGACAUAGAAGGC